GAUGAAGAACGUAGCGAAAUGCGAUAAGUAAUGUGAAUUGCAGAAUCCAGUGAAUCAUCGAAUCUUUGAACGCACAUUGCGCCCGCCAGCAUUCUGGCGGGCAUGCCUGUUCGAGCGUCAUUUCAACCCUCGACCUCCCCUUGGGGAGGUCGGCGUUGGGGACCGGCAGCACACCGCCGGCCCUAAAAUGGAGUGGCGGCCCGUCCGCGGCGACCUCUGCGUAGUAAUACAGCUCGCACCGGAACCCCGACGCGGCCACGCCGUAAAACACCCAACUUCUGAACGUUGACCUCGAAUCAGGUAGGACUACCCGCUGAACUUAAGCAUAUCAAUAAGCGGAGGA
rnacentral:misc_RNA from 1 species